rnacentral:rRNA from 1 species
CCAAUAGCGUAUAUUAAAGUUGUUGCAGUUAAAAAGCUCGUAGUUGAAUUUCGGGGCCAGUAGGUUGGUCGUGCCACUGGUAUGCACUGGCCUUACUGGUCCCUCCCUCUUGUAGAACCGUGAUGCCAUUAAUUUGGUGUUGCGGGGAAACAGGACUGUUACUUUGAAAAAAUUAGAGUGCUUAAAGCAGGCUCGCGCUUGAAUACAUUAGCAUGGAAUAACGGAAUAGGACGAUCGAACCUAUUUUGUUGGUUUCUAGGAUCGACGUAAUGAUUAAUAGGGAUAGUUGGGGGCAUUAGUAUUCAAUUGUCAGAGGUGAAAUUCUUGGAUUUAUUGAAGACUAACUACUGCGAAAGCAUUUGCCAAGGAUGUUUUCAUUAAUCAAGAACGAAAGUUAGGGGAUCGAAGACGAUCAGAUACCGUCGUAGUCUUAACCAUAAACUAUGCCGACUAGGGAUCGGAUGAAGUUAAUUUUUUAAUGACUCAUUCGGCGCCUUACG